GAUGAACGCUAGCUACAGGCUUAACACAUGCAAGUCGAGGGGCAGCAUGACGAUAGCUUGCUAUUGUCGAUGGCGACCGGCGCACGGGUGAGUAACGCGUAUCCAACCUUCCCGUUGCUAGGGGAUAACCUUGCGAAAGUAAGACUAAUACCCUAUGAAGUUCUUCGCAGGCAUCUAAAGAGAACGAAAGAUUUAUCGGCAACGGAUGGGGAUGCGUCUGAUUAGGUUGUUGGCGGGGUAACGGCCCACCAAGCCCACGAUCAGUAGGGGUUCUGAGAGGAAGGUCCCCCCACAUUGGAACUGAGACACGGUCCAAACUCCUACGGGAGGCAGCAGUGAGGAAUAUUGGUCAAUGGACGGAAGUCUGAACCAGCCAAGUAGCGUGCAGGAUGACGGCCCUAUGGGUUGUAAACUGCUUUUAUAAGGGAAUAAAGUGAGUCUCGUGAGACUUUUUGCAUGUACCUUAUGAAUAAGGACCGGCUAAUUCCGUG
rnacentral:rRNA from 1 species